rnacentral:lncRNA from 1 species
AAUUAUUACAUGCUUGAUUUACUGACUGAAAACGAAAAGGGCAGCAUCCAUGGCCUUGUGCUAAUGAAGAGGAGGCGUCCAGGUCGGUCCCUCUUAGAGAGUGUCAUCAAUGGCCCCAAAAAAGAGAGGAGCCCCUUUCACUACUUUUCAAAAUUAAGGAUUGGAAAACUACUAUUUGGGACUCGACUUGUCUAUUUCAAGAUCCAAAUCCAAAGAACAUCUGAUGCCCAGUGAUUCAUCCGCUAUGGUAAUUAAACAUUUAGAUAUAGCAACAAAAAUGGGGGGUGGAAAUCAUUUCUUCUUUCUAAAAAUUGAGGAACAAUACCAAGAAAAUUUGUAGGAAUCCAUCUUAGUUUAGACGUACAACAGGCAAUAGAAACAUGGAAAGCGACCUGAAUCCCAAAUAGUGUGGGAAAACUCGGCGAGCCAACUCGGAACUGCCACCAAGUAUGUUUGAGUUGGGUGGUCCAACUCGAGGAUCUUAAGAACAAAUAAAUAAAUAAAUAAUAUAUAUAUAUAUAUAUAUAUAUAUAUAUAUCAUAAAAUUAUUUUUUAAUAUUGUCUAUCAUUUCGACAAAUAUUGGAAAGUGUUUUGGUCACGAAUACUUACUUUUACAUUUUUUUUUCUUAUUUUGAAAUUAUUUUUAAAAUAUACCCAUCACAAAGUGAUUUUUUGAAAAUCCAUUUUCUUUACUACUUUUUUAACUUCAUUUAGAUAUAUCUUGAUUAAUUUUACUUUAUAUAUAUAUAUUUUUUUUUCUAAGUUUUUUAUAUUUUUAUUUUUUUUAACACUUUUUGGCUUGUCGAGGCUCUGCUAGUUAUACGACUCAGCCAUGGGCCAAGUCCUGUCCCCAAGCCCGGGUUUUAUUCAAAUGUGAAAGAGAAGGGAGCAUCGGUUCAUAGGGACAAAGCAUGCCCUUUAGCCCUUAGUUGAAAUCUCUAUUAAGGAGAAUUUUUUCAAUCUAAAAUUUUGAGAUAUAUUUUAGAAUCAUCACAUAUGAGAAAUUUUCAAAAUAAAAAGACAUUAAAUUUUGAAAUUCUAAAUAGAUCUCACCAUCCAAAAAGUACCUCAAUUGUUUUUUACAUAUAUCGGAUGGUAAUGAUGAUUGUUCUUUGAUAUAUAAACAAUGUGAAUGGUUGAAUUCCUACCCACGGAUGCGCCAAACCCAUUCUUAAAAUUUAGGCUGCCUCAAUAGAUUGAUACUUUUUAUUUUUAGGGCAAGCUUUCUAUGCAUAAAAUUUAUAUACUUCUCCUUAUCUAACCGUCCAUUCUGAAUGGAGGGUUAAGAUUGUCUCAAUUACAAUGUAAUGUCUCUACACUAUUUUAUUUUUAAAUUUUUUUUUUAUAUAUAAACUAUUUUGAUGCCAUAUUUUGGACAUCCAUCCAAUCCACUAUUACACUCGGACUAGCGAAAAAUAUAAAAAAAUAUUUUCAAUAAAAUAAAAUGAUCCAAAUAUCCCUAAAAGUUUCAAGGGGUAUUUUGAUAAUUAUACUUUAUGAAAAAAUUAUUUUUAAUAUUUUUAUAGGUGCGCUCCAAUGAAAAGAUGACACAUACCAAAUUUCAUAUUCAUACAAUUUGUGUAAAAGAACUAAAAAUAAAAUACUUUGAGACGUCAGAUCUAAAAUCAAACGGUGAGUAGUUCUCUUGAUCAAAAUUGAAUGGUUGGAAGGUAAGGGAAGCUUAAUUCGUCUAUACUGUAGAAGAAGUGUAGAAACUUUUCCCUUAUUUUUAGACAUAUUUUUUAUUUUCUAAAAUCAGUCACUCGGUUGGAGAGGUGACUUCUUCGAAUUUUCGGAUCCAAAAGUACAAGUGGGGUUUUUUUAGUUUUUACCCUAGGGAGCAUGCACCCAUUAGGAGGGUACAUUCUUUUGAUGACAAAGAAAGUAGGCUUUUUCUUAAAUUUUACCCUAGGGAGCAUGUACCAUUAGGAGCAUACACUGUUUUUUUUUUAUGAGAGAGAAUAAAAAGAUUUUAUAGAAAAUUACAAAAACCCCUUUAACAUAACUUGUUUACAACAUCCCCCCAACUUAUUUUUUUUUCAAAAACUAUCCUUUAUAGUAAAUACCUCCGAGUAAAAAAAUCAUAAUUUGAAGGACGAAAAUAUCCUUGCCCAUACAUGAAGGUACCACAUUUCCUUUUUUAAACAGUAUGAAGGGCGCACAUUUUUGUAGACGCUCAAUCACCAAAGACGUUUCGACACAUAUUACUGUCGAAUCGGAACUCAUACCACAUUAACGGCCAGACAACAACAACAAUAUGCUGGACUUAUGCCAGACCAAGGCAUCAUAGCGCCGGAUUGACAAAACUGCGAGACAGCAACAACAGUCAGCCAAACCGCAUUUACAAGUGUCAGACCGAUGGCAUCCAACGAC